ACUCCUACGGGUGGCUGCAGUGGGGAAUAUUGGACAAUGGGCGAAAGCCUGAUCCAGCCAUGCCGCGUGUGUGAAGAAGGCCUUUUGGUUGUAAAGCACUUUAAGUGGGGAGGAAAAGCUUGUGGUUAAUACCCAUAAGCCCUGACGUUACCCACAGAAUAAGCACCGGCUAACUCUGUGCCAGCAGCCGCGGUAAUACAGAGGGUGCAAGCGUUAAUCGGAAUUACUGGGCGUAAAGCGAGCGUAGGUGGUCAUUUAAGUCAGAUGUGAAAGCCCCGGGCUUAACCUGGGAACUGCAUCUGAUACUGGGUGACUAGAGUAGGUGAGAGGGAAGUAGAAUUCCAGGUGUAGCGGUGAAAUGCGUAGAGAUCUGGAGGAAUACCGAUGGCGAAGGCAGCUUCCUGGCAUCAUACUGACACUGAGGUUCGAAAGCGUGGGUAGCAAACAGGAUUAGAUACCCUGGUAGUCCACGCCGUAAACGAUGUCUACCAGUCGUUGGGUCUCUUGAAGACUUAGUGACGCAGUUAACGCAAUAAGUAGACCGCCUGGGGAGUACGGCCGCAAGGUUAAAACUCAAAUGAAUUGACGGGGGCCCGCACAAGCGGUGGAGCAUGUGGUUUAAUUCGAUGCAACGCGAAGAACCUUACCUGGUCUUGACAUAGUGAGAAUCCUGCAGAGAUGCGGGAGUGCCUUCGGGAAUUCACAUACAGGUGAUGCAUGGAUGUCGUCAGCUCG
rnacentral:rRNA from 1 species